GACGUAGGGCGCGAGCGUUGUCCGGAUUUAUUGGGCGUAAAGAGCUCGUAGGCGGCUUGUCGCGUCGUCCGUGAAAACCUGCGGCUCAACUGCAGGCUGGCGGUCGAUACGGGCAGGCUGGAGUUCGGUAGGGGAGACUGGAAUUCCUGGUGUAGCGGUGAAAUGCGUAGAUAUCAGGAGGAACACCGGUGGUGUAGACGGCUUUCUGGACCGUAACUGACGCUGAGACACGAAAGCGUGGGGUAGCAAACAGG
rnacentral:rRNA from 1 species